rnacentral:rRNA from 1 species
AUGGGAGCGGCCAUGGCGGAGGAGAAGAGGGCGCACGCGAUGAUGUUCCCGUUCCCGUGCUCGGGCCACAUCAACCCGACGCUCAAGCUGGCGGAGCUGCUGCACUCGCGCGGGGUGCACGUCACCUUCGUCAACACGGAGCACAACCACGAGCGGCUGCUGCGGACGGGCGGCGCGCGGCUCGCCGGCCGGGACGGGUUCCGGUUCGAGUCCGUCCCCGACGGGCUGGACGACGAGGACCGCGCCGCGCCCGACAAGACGGUGAGGCUGUACCUGUCGCUGCGCAGGAGCUGCGGCCCGCCGCUGGUGGACCUCGCGCGCCGGCUCGGGGAGCAAGAGGGCGUGCCGCCCGUCACCUGCGUCGUGCUCAGUGGCCUCGCCAGCUUCGUGCUGGGCGUCGCGGAGGAGCUCGGCGUGCCGUCAUUCGUGAUCUGGGGCACCAGCGCCGUCGGCUUCGUCUGCACGCUCCGGCUGCGCCAGCUCACACAAAGAGGCUACACGCCACUCAAAGAUGAGAGCUACUUGACCAACGGGUACCUGGACACGCCGAUCGACUGGAUCGCCGGGAUGCCGACGGUGCGGCUCGGCGACAUCUCCAGCUUCGUCCGGACGGUUGAACCGAAUGGAUUCGGUCUGCGCGUGGAGGAGGAGGAGGCCAACAGCUGCGCCAGAGCGCAGGGCCUCAUCCUCAACACGUUCGACGAGCUCGAGUCAGACGUCCUGGGCGCCCUCCGGGAAGAGUUCCCGCGCGUGUACACCAUCGGGCCCCUCGCGGCCGCUAUGCACCGCCGGGUCGACCACGGCGCGUCCGGGCUCAGCCUGUGGGAGGAGGACGCGGCGUGCAUGGCGUGGCUGGACGCGCAGCCGGCGGUGGGGUCGGUGCUGUACGUCAGCUUCGGGAGCCUGGCGGUGCUGUCGCUGGACCAGCUCGCGGAGUUCGCCUGGGGCCUCGCCGCCAGCAACCGCCCGUUCCUCUGGGUCGUGCGCCCCGGCCUCGUCGCCGGUGACCGCGGCAUGGAGGCCCUGCCCGCCGACUUCCUCGCGGAGACCAAGGGCCGGCGCUUCAUCGCCGAGUGGUGCGCGCAGGAGCAGGUGCUACGGCACCGCGCCGUGGGGGGCUUCCUGACUCACAGCGGGUGGAACUCGACGACGGAGAGCAUCUGGGCGGGCGUGCCGAUGAUCUGCGCGCCGGGGUUCGCGGACCAGUACAUCAACAGCCGGUACGUGUGCGGAGAGUGGGGCGUCGGGCUGCGCCUGGACGAGCAGCUGCGGCGAGAGCAGGUCGUGGCGCACAUCGAGGAGCUCAUGGGCGGAGGGGAGAAGGGCGAGGAGAUGAGGCGCAGCGCCGCCGAGUGGAAGGCUCUGGCCGAGGCGGCCACGGCGCCCGGGGGGUCGGCGUACGAGAACCUCGACAAGCUGGUCGAGGAGCUGCGGCUGGAGGUGCCGGACGGCGGCAAGCCUGCCAAAGUCACGCACGCCCGGUGA